GAUGAACGCUGGCGGCGUGCCUAAUACAUGCAAGUCGAGCGAACAGACGAGGAGCUUGCUCCUCUGACGUUAGCGGCGGACGGGUGAGUAACACGUGGAUAACCUACCUAUAAGACUGGGAUAACUUCGGGAAACCGGAGCUAAUACCGGAUAAUAUAUUGAACCGCAUGGUUCAAUAGUGAAAGACGGUUUUGCUGUCACUUAUAGAUGGAUCCGCGCCGCAUUAGCUAGUUGGUAAGGUAACGGCUUACCAAGGCAACGAUGCGUAGCCGACCUGAGAGGGUGAUCGGCCACACUGGAACUGAGACACGGUCCAGACUCCUACGGGAGGCAGCAGUAGGGAAUCUUCCGCAAGGGCGAAAGCUUGACGGAGCAACGCCGCGUGAGUGAUGAAGGUCUUCGGAUCGUAAAACUCUGUUAUUAGGGGAGAACAAAUGUGUAAGUAACUAUGCACGUCUUGACGGUACCUAAUCAGAAAGCCACGGCUAACUACGUG
rnacentral:rRNA from 1 species